UGUCAAUGCACUGAAUGCUCGCCCAUUUGAAAAACUGGAGCUUAUUGCGGAAGCCACAAAACACCCAAAGAGAAUUUGGUGCCAUGUGCCAUCUACGAUACUUCUUUCUGCAGAGCAUUUCUGAAAAACGCCAGCAUGGCCAAACAGCGAUUCGAAAGAGCUGCAAGACAGUGGAAUCCCAUAAACCACGCCAGUAGUGCAAGGAGCAUAUCUGUGGACA